AUUAAUUUAAAUGGCCGCAGUAUCCUAACUGUGCAAAGGUAGCAUAAUCAUUAGUCUUUUAAUUGAAGGCUGGUAUGAAUGGUUGGACGAGGUAUUAACUGUUUCAAAUAAAUUUUUGAUAGAAUUUUAUUUUUUAGUCAAAAAGCUAAAAUAUAUUUAAAAGACGAGAAGACCCUAUAAAUCUUUACUUUUUAAUUAUUUUAAUUAUAAAGAUAAAUUUUAUUAUAAUAAUAAAAAAAGUUUUAUUGGGGUGAUAUUAAAAUUUAAUAAACUUUUAAUUUUUUAAAAACAUAAAUUAAUGAAUAAUUGAUCCAUUAAUGAUGAUUAAAAAUUUAAGUUACUUUAGGGAUAACAGCGUAAUUUUUUUGGAGAGUUCUUAUCGAUAAAAAAGAUUGCGACCUCGAUGUUGGAUUAAGAAAAAUUUUAGGUGCAGUCGCU
rnacentral:rRNA from 1 species